AAAUAUUUGAAAGAAAAUGACUCAAAGUAGAUGUCAAAACUUAGAUGGUUAUUGAAAAAAAGUAACUUCCGCAGAUCAGACACCACCGUGGGAGAGACAUAAAAUGAGAACUGAAUUGGCCUGUCCAUCUAUGUGCUCCAAAUAUUUAUUUGAUAUUUUUACUCAAUUAAGUCACAUAUUUAGCUAGUGAAUAUGUUUUCUACGAGUGGUUAUGACUUGGUGGAAUAAAGCUGAAGCAGAGUUGGUGAGGCAAAGCGUGGCCUGCAGUGAGUUGUGCUCUGGAUUAGCUGAGGGACAAGCACGUGAACUUCUGUGGCUGUCAUCUGCAAAAGGAGUCCACAUCUUCACCAGGAGUAUAUUCCACCUCAAGAAACUAUUUUAUUUGCUCAUCCAUAAGAAGCAACUCUUCAUCUGCUCAAGAUUUAUCAUGAGAUUAGAAGAAUUCAGUGAAAUCCUCAGGCUCCACUUCUAAUUCCAGUUCUCUUUCCAGUUCCACCACAUCUACAGCUACUUCCUCCACUGAAGUCUUGAACCUCACAAAGUCAUCCCUGAGGGUUAGAAUCAACUUCUUCCCCAUCUCCUGCGCAUGUUGAUGAUAUUUUGCAUCUUCCCAUGAAUCAUGAAAGUUCUUAAUGGUAUCCAGAAUAGUGAAUCCUUUUCAGAGAUUUUUCAAUUUGCUUUGCCAAGAGACAUCAGAGAAAUCACCAUCUGUGACACCUAGAGCCUUAUGAAAUGCAGUUCUUAAAUAAUAAAAUUUGAAAGUCGAAAUUGCUCCUUGAUUCAAGGGCCUCAGAAUGGAUGUUGUGAUAGCAGGCAUGAAAACAACAUUAAUCUCACGUACAUCUUCAUCAGAGUUCUUGGGUGACCAGGUGUGUUGUCAAGGAGCAGUAGUAUUUUGAAAGAAAUCUUUUUUUUUUUUUUUCUGAUAAGUAGUUCUCAACAGAGGGCUUAAAAUACUCAGUAAACCAUGUUGUCAACAGGUGUGCUGUCAUCCAGUCUUUGUUGUUCCCUUUACAGAGCACAGACAGAUUAGAUUUAGCAUAAUUCUUAAGGGCUGUAGGA